UACGGAGGGGGCUAGCGUUGUUCGGAAUUACUGGGCGUAAAGCGCACGUAGGCGGACGAGAAAGUCAGGGGUGAAAUCCCGGGGCUCAACCCCGGAACUGCCUUUGAAACUCCUUGUCUUGAGGUCGUGAGAGGUGAGUGGAAUUCCGAGUGUAGAGGUGAAAUUCGUAGAUAUUCGGAAGAACACCAGUGGCGAAGGCGACUCACUGGACAAGUAUUGACGCUGAGGUACGAAAGCGUGGGGAGCAAACAGG
rnacentral:rRNA from 1 species